rfam:Otolemur garnettii contig048695, whole genome shotgun sequence.
GCCAGGCACAGUAGUACAUGCCUAUAGUCCCAGCUACUUGGGAGGCUGAGGCAGGAGGAUUGCUUGAGCCCAGGAUCAAGUGUUCAGACUAAGUUUGUCAUCAAUAUGGUGACCUCCCAAGAAUGGGGGGACUACCAGGUUGCUCAAGGAGGAGUUAACCAGCCCUGAACCAGGUGCUGAAAAACCAGGUGAACCAGACCAGGUCAGAACUUCUGUGCUGAUUAGGAGUGGGAUCACACCUGUGAGUAGCCACCGCACUCCAACCUGGGCAACAUAGAGAGACACUCCCUGUC